UCCUGGGUUCACACCCCAGUGGAGCCACAUUCCUUGGGAAGCUAAGCAGGGUCAGGCCUGGUUAGUACUUUGAUGGGAGACUACCUAGAAAGACCAGGUACUGUAGGCA
rnacentral:rRNA from 1 species